CCUCCCCUGUUCGCUUUCAUAUGCUCAGUUUGCAGCUGUGAUGCGUUCUUUCCAAACUUACAGGCAGCCUGAACUGAAGAGGCAGUUGUUGAAAAGGGAGCCAAGAGAGGCCCGCUGCUAGCAUUUCUACAAGGUCAGACAAAAACUGCAGGAGGAUGAAUUUCAGUUUCAAUCAACAUCAACGGCGUGGGAUGCAAUUUUAUGCUGCACUUGUUUAUCUUUCUGUACUGCCAUAUGUUGGCUGCAGUUUGUAUUACAUGUCACUCUUAAAUGAGACCUGGAUUAUUAGCUAAUGGUUUUAACUUAUUUUUAAUGGAUUUCAUUCAU